UACGUAGGGGGCAAGCGUUGUCCGGAUUUAUUGGGCGUAAAGAGCGUGUAGGCGGCUUUACAGGUCCGUUGUGAAAACUCGAGGCUCAACCUCGAGACGCCGGUGGAAACCGUAAAGCUAGAGACCGGAAGAGGAGAGUGGAAUUCCUGGUGUAGCGGUGAAAUGCGCAGAUAUCAGGAGGAACACCCGUGGCGAAAGCGGCUCUCUGGGACGGUACUGACGCUGAGACGCGAAAGCGUGGGGAGCAAACAGG
rnacentral:rRNA from 1 species